rnacentral:rRNA from 1 species
UUGGGAAUCUUGCACAAUGGGGGAAACCCUGAUGCAGCGACGCCGCGUGGAGGAUGAAGGGUCUAGGCCUGUAAACUCCUUUUAUCGGGAAAGACUUAGGACGGUACCCGAUGAAUAAGGACCGGCUAACUACGUGCCAGCAGCCGCGGUAAGACGUAGGGUCCAAGCGUUAUCCGGAUUUACUGGGCGUAAAGCGCGCGUAGGCGGUCUGUUAAGUGCACAAGUGAAAGCUCCGGGCUCAACUCGGAAAUUGCUUUGCAUACUGGCAGGCUGGAGGGACGCAGAGGUCUGUGGAAUUCCUGGUGUAACGGUGAAAUGUGUUGAUAUCAGGAGGAACACCCAUGGCGAAGGCAGCAGACUGGGCGUUUCCUGACGCUGAGGCGCGAAAGCGUGGGUAGCAAACAGG